rnacentral:rRNA from 1 species
GACAGAGGUGCCAAGCGUUAGGCGGAAUCACUGGGCUUAAAGGGUGCGUAGGCGGGUCUUUAAGUCAGGGGUGAAAUCCUGGAGCUCAACUCCAGAACUGCCUUUGAUACUGAAGAUCUUGAGUUCGGGAGAGGUGAGUGGAACUGCGAGUGUAGAGGUGAAAUUCGUAGAUAUUCGCAAGAACACCAGUGGCGAAGGCGGCUCACUGGCCCGAUACUGACGCUGAGGCACGAAAGCGUGGGGAGCAAACAGG